GUGGAAACAUUGGUUCCCAUACCAUCACCAAAGUUAAGCAACACUGAGCUUAGUCAGUACUUAGAUAAGUGAUCGCUUGGGAAUACCAGAUGCUGUAAG